GUAUUGGCUUUGCAUUCAUUUUGGCAUUUUUUAAGAUUUAUUAUUUAAAUAUGAAUUUAAAUCCAUAUUUCCUUUCAGUUUUGCUGAUCUCCAAAAACCACAAGUUGAACUUGCUGGAAAGGCUUGUGCAGCUGUUGGACAUAAUAGUCUCAUGGCACUUUACAGCACGUUGUUCAGCCAGUGAACAUAUAUUGCCAGAACAAAACAGGCAUGACAAAAUGUCAAGACACUGGAAAUGCUUCAAAAGAUCCGGUAGCUAUUUUUUAUUCCAGUGCAUGUAAGGCUGACCAAGAAUUUUGUACCAUCAUCAAAGGGAGACUUCAACUAUUGUUUUGUUUUUGAGGAUUUGUUGUCUGUUAAAUGUGCAAUGGCUUACAUACAAUACAACCUUUUUUGGAAAUCUGUAUGUUGUUGGUAGUUUUUGUGUUGGUGCGAUAUUUGUAAAUGUUUUUGUGUGAUUGAAGGCAACCCACUUUUGUCCUGCCCUAUUUUGUAGGCUGAUUUAACUAACUAUAGCUAAAGUAUCCUCUAUAUUCUUGA